UACAGAGGUGGCAAGCGUUGUUCGGAUUUAUUGGGCGUAAAGGGUUCGUAGGCGGCUCGGAAAGUCAGAUGUGAAAUCCCACAGCUCAACUGUGGAACUGCAUUUGAAACUUCCGAGCUAGAGUAUGAGAGGGGUUAAGGGAAUUCCCGGUGUAAGGGUGAAAUCUGCAGAGAUCGGGAGGAACACCAGUCGCGAAGGCGCUUAACUGGCUCAUAACUGACGCUCAGGAACGAAAGCUAGGGGAGCAAACGGG
rnacentral:rRNA from 1 species